UAGGGAAUCUUCCACAAUGGGCGAAAGCCUGAUGGAGCAACGCCGCGUGUGUGAUGAAGGGUUUCGGCUCGUAAAACACUGUUGUAAGGGAAGAACAGCUAGAAUAGGAAAUGAUUUUAGUUUGACGGUACCAUACCAGAAAGGGACGGCUAAAUACGUGCCAG
rnacentral:rRNA from 1 species